GCCCGGGUGGCAGAACGAUAUUGCGCCAGCUUGGAGGGCUGGUCUCCGAAAGGGGUUAGCGGUUCGAGUCCGCUCCCGGGCGCCA
rnacentral:tRNA from 1 species